rnacentral:rRNA from 1 species
AUUGAACGCUGGCGGCAGGCCUAACACAUGCAAGUCGAACGAGUGGCGGACGGGUGAGUAAUGUCUGGGAAACUGCCUGAUGGAGGGGGAUAACUACUGGAAACGGUAGCUAAUACCGCAUACCAUCGGAUGUGCCCAGAUGGGAUUAGCUAGUAGGUGGGGUAACGGCUCACCCAGGCGACGAUCCCUAGCUGGUCUGCGAGGAUGACCAGCAACACUGGAACUGUACAACGGUCCAGACCCCUACGGGAGGUAGCAGUGGGGAUCAUUGCACAAUGGGUGCAAGCCUGAUGCAGCCAUGCCGCGUGUAUGAAGAAGGCCUUCGGGUUGUAAAGUACUUUCCGCGGGGAGGCGUUACCCGCAGAAGAAGCACCGGCUAACUCCGUGCCAGCCGCCGCGGUAAUUC